CUUUAAAAGCUUCCUUGUGAUUAUUUUCAGCUGUUUAUGCGAAGGGCGAGAAAUCUAGAUCUACUACUUGUUGAUCCUGAAUCAGAACGCACAUUUCGCAUUCUCAGAGGCAUACAAAGAAACGAACGGGAAGCAAUGGCAGAACAGGGUGCUAGAGCAGUCAAUGAGGAUAACCAACAAAGGGCUAUUCGGGACUACAUAAGGCCGGUUGUCAAUGACAACUAUUCCGGUAUCGCACGCCCAGCAAUUGCUGCAAACAAUUUUGAAUUGAAGCCAGGGUUGAUACAUAUGGUGCAGCAAAAUCAGUUUGGGGGUGUUGCAGUAGAAGACCCAAAUGCUCAUCUUGGAUCCUUUUGGAAAUUUGUGACACGGUGAAGAUGAAUGGGGUUACUGAAGAUGCAAUUAGACUCCGCCUAUUCUCAUUCUCUUUAAGGGAUAAAGCAAAUGCUUGGUUCCAAUCACUACCGUAUGGCUCAAUUACAACUUGGGAUGAUUUAGCUCAGAAACUCCUCACCAAAUACUUUCCACCUUCUAAAUCAGCUCAACUUCACGGUGAAAUUAGCCAAUUCAAACAACUCGACUUCGAGCCAUUCUAUGAAGCCUGGGAAAGAUUUAAAGAUUUGCUUAGGAGAUGUCCUCAACAUGGGUUCCAGAAAUAGGUGCAAAUUGAGAUAUUUUAUAAUGGGCUAAAUGGGCAGAUAAGGACUAUGGUAGAUGCAGCUGCGGGAGGCAUUUUAAUGGCUAAAACAGCAGAGGCUGCAUAUGCUUUAUUGGAUGACAUAGCCACCAACAGUUACCAAUGGCCAAGUGAGAGAUCGGGUGUAAAGAAAGUAGCAGGACUUCAUGAAGUGGAUCCCAUCACCGCACUAGCAGCUCAGGUUGCAUCACUCACAAAUCAGAUAGUCACGCUUACCACUCAAGGAAAUCAACAGAAGGUAGAUUCAGUCAUAAGUACUUCUUCUUCACACCAAGAGACAGAUGUUGCAAACGAGCAGGCCCAAUAUGUCGACAGUAGAAACUACAAUCAAAGAGGAAGCUACCAAGCUAAUCACUAUCAUCCAGGGCUGAGAAACCACGAGAACUUGUCAUAUGGCAACAAUAGAAACACACUUCAACCUCCACCCGGAUUCAACACUCAGAAUUCUGAUGGGAAACCACCCUUGGAAGACAUCCUUGGGACGUUCAUUUUUGAGACAAGAUCACGCUUCAACAAAAAUGAAUUACGGUUGGAUAAUAUUGAAAUACAUGUGUCUAACAUGGGAGCCACAAUGAAGAAUCUUGAGGUGCAAAUUGGCCAAUUGGCUACCUCAAUGAAGUCUCAGCAAAAAGGAAAAUUUCCCAGUGACACUGAGGUUAACCCACGGGAACACUGUAAUGCGAUCACCCUAAGGAGUGGUAAAAUGGUUAAAGAAAGCAAACCUAAGAAGAUUAUGGUGCCUACGUCGGAUGUCAUAGUUACAGAGAAAAGGUAGAAAACUGAGGCAGAGGGUACAAAGAUCUAUAAGCCUUACUCGAUCUCAUUUCCGGACAACCCACCAAUCUUGAAGCCUUCACUACCAUUCCCGCAGAGGUUCAUGAAGAAGAAAUUUGAUGACCAAUUUGCAAAAUUCUUGGAAGUCUUCAAGAAAAUCCACAUCAACAUUUCCUUUGCAGAAGCUUUGGCCCAAAUGCCUAACUACGCCAAAUUCUUGAAGGAAGUGAUGUCAAAUAAGAAGAAGCUGGAGGAGUUCGAGACAAGUAAGCUAACAGAGGGGUGUAGUGACAUACUUCAGAAGCUCCCUCACAAAUGGAAAGAUCCGGGCAGCUUCAACAUCCUGUGCAAUAUUGGUGGUAUCACAUUUGAUAGGGCACUGUGCGACCUUGGAGCUAGUAUAAAUCUGAUGCCCCUAUCAGUUUUCAAAAAGCUGGGUCUUGGAGAAGUGAAGCCCACAACCCUCACUUUGCAACUGGCGGACAGAUCGAUUACAUAUCCCAAAGGCAUGAUUGAAGAUGUAUUGGUGAAGGUCGAUAAGUUCAUCCUUCCUGUGGACUUUGUGGUGUGGGACAUGGAGGAGAACGAGAAAAUACCGUUGAUUCUUGGUCGACCUUUCCUAGCUACUGGAAGAGCAUUGAUUGAUGUCCAGGAAGGAAAAUUGACACUGCGGGUUAAUGAAGAGCAUGUGACUUUCAACAUCCAUCAAGUAGAAAGCCUCAAGAAAAAGUCAACAUUUGCAAUAUGGCCCAAUCGGCUGAAGCAGUUUUAGGUCACAAAGAAAAAAAGGAAGUGUUCUAUGACCCUUUAGAACAAUAUAUGGCUCUCAAUUACUUAGUAAGGGAUGCAUCUACUGAUGGCAAAUACUCGGGAGCCGAAGAAGUAGUGGAUUUCAUAUUCACCAAAGAAGCUGAUCCACUUGACAAAAAAGAAGGCUAUGUGGCUAGGCCUUUGAAACCUCCAAACAUUGUCAAACCAAAAGAGGUUUUGAAGGCUACACCGAGGUUCAAAUCGCCUGAUUUUAUUGGUCAUGCUACGGUGAAGGAAAAUGCAAAGCCGAGGGUAAAAUUCAGAAACAAGAAAGAUGCUCCACCCGAAGAUCCACUGUAGACACCUUGGUUGAGUCAAGCUAGUGACUAUAAAGAAGUGCUUCUUGGGAGGCAACCCAAGCUUUCAUCUUUAUUUAUUUAUUCUGUUUUUGAAUUUUAGGAUAAUUUAUUUUAUUUCAGACUUGUUAUUUAGGAAUUCAUCAACCCUACCCGUCCCUUAGGUUUUUGAAAAAUCAAGUUGGUUAUCGAUAUUUGAGCUAAGUACCACUUGUUCCAUGAGUUUAAUAUCUACAUUGUGAUUUUUCAGGAACAUGACGUCGCAGAUCAAUCAAACAACAUUGACAAGGAGAAGCUGGAUAAAUCUCAAGUUUGGGGGGAAAGCUAGAAGAAACAUCCAUCAAAUUCAACAUUAGUGCACCAAAUCAUCGUUGGCAAUUCAGACAAUUCAGGGAAGUCCUCAUAUUUUUCUUUUAAUUUAACAUUGGGGACAAUGUUUAGUUUAAGCUUGGGGGGAAUGUAUUAUAAAUUGUCUAAUUGCCAAAAUUUUUGGUUUUGUUUGAUUUGUGUGUUUUUUUUUAUUAUUUGUUAUUUAUUUAUUUAAUUUUUAUUUGUGUGCAUUGUCAAAAAAAAAAAUUUCGUGUUUUGCAUGCUUGUGUGAGUUAGAUAGCCUUGCUGGCGAUGAUGUAUAAUAUUAAGAACAUGUAUUGGUUCAUGAAUUAUGGAUAAGUUAUAUGUGUGAGUUAGAUUUUUGCUUAUUCGUGUGAAACGGAAAUUAUUUUUGCACGUGGAUUGAUUGUAGCGUUGUACAUGAGUAGGUUGAUCCAUGUUUAUAGGUUGAAUAAGAGAACUUAGAUACUAAAUCCAAACAACCUUUAAACAUUAUUAUACCCUUAGACCAAAUAUAGGCUGUUCGAUAGGUUAAGCUGUUGCAGGAAAAUUUGGAUUCGACACUUUUCAAUUCUUUAAUAUACUACAAAACUUGACACCGUGUGCUUGCGGUAUAAAAUCACGUUAUAUAAAACGCGUGGCAUGGGGAAAAUUGAAUUUUUACAUAAUGGGACUCAAAAUAGGAGUUAAAUUGUUAUAUUAAUUUAUAUUAUAAUAAAUAAAACUGAAAAUAUUAAAGUUGCACUAAUGUGUAAAAAUGAAAAGACUACAAAUCAACUUAAUGGCCCAGCCAAAUAUAUAAAGCCCAUUAUUUACUUGAUGAUAAGUCCUUUAAUAGACUUAUCUUUCAGCACAUUUUUUACAUAAAAAAAUCCGACGCGGGAUUCCUUUCAUGUUUUUAUAGUCAAAGUAUUGGAGCUUUAGUAAUGGAUUCCUUUUAUUUCAAUUUGAAAAACUUCAAUCACAAUAGAGAAGGAAGGUCUACAAAUAAUGUAGUUAUGUUUUUUUCUCAAUUAUUCAAGUAUUUACUUUUCAAAAUGAAUAAGAAACAUAUGUGUUGCAAGGACCUUCCUUCUUUAUUAUUUCUUAUUCAUUUUGAAAAGUAAAUUGAAGCUUUUGUAUAGCGUGUCUGAUACUUACACCGUUUUUUGUAGCGUGGAGCUUUCUAUUCACAAGAUGCAUAGUUUGCUAUCUCAUAUCCCCGCUAUAGAAGCUUCAAUUGAUUAUUCGGACUAUGAAAUGUGGAAUGAUUCAGGUAAUAUUUUUGAUUUUCUACUUGAUGCUAAAUCUCACAUUUCAUUGUCCCUUAGAUUAUUUUUCAUCAUCAUUUAGUACAAAUUGUAAGUAACACACUCUGUUUCUUGUAUUUGAAUCAAGGAAGAAAACGUUGUGGUGAAUGCAACUUCAUCCACCUAAGUUUUAACCAAUGGGCUUGCAUGAUUAUCGUUGGUGGUGUUUGGUCACAUGAAAAUUUUAGUUUGCAAGAAUUAACUAUAUCGUGAUAUCUUUAGUAGUCAAGAACGAUAAUUACACCAUGCUACUAGCAGUAGAAGACAGUGGAUGGUUUCCUUUGGAUUUCUGCAGUAAUUUUUGUUGUUAACAAUAAUUAUUAAGUGCUUUUAUAAGCAGAUAGAAAUGAGUGGUGAUAAGUGAGUGGUGCUUGUGUGUCACAUGAAAUAUGUUGAUAAAGUGUGUUACUUGUGGAAAUGCUCAGGAGAUAUUUUGUAAAGCUUCUGAAUUAUUGCAUUGAAGAGAAGGGGUCACUUGAUCGAGGAUAUUGACAAGUCACUUGAGUGAGAUCAUACAGAAUUUUGUUUUGGAGAUAUUACUCUCUGGAGGAUCAUAACAGUAUCUCAAUAUUUUGUAAUUGUCUUUUAACAAUUGAGGUUUUCACUCAGAUUUGAUAGAUCACUCUCAAGACUAUGCUUAAUGCUAUAGAUC
rnacentral:lncRNA from 1 species